rnacentral:rRNA from 1 species
UACGUAGGGUGCGAGCGUUAAUCGGAAUUACUGGGCGUAAAGCGUGCGCAGGCGGUUAUGUAAGACAGGUGUGAAAUCCCCCGGGCUUAACCUGGGAACUGCAUUUGUGACUGCAUAGCUAGAGUACGGUAGAGGGGGAUGGAAUUCCGCGUGUAGCAGUGAAAUGCGUAGAUAUGCGGAGGAACACCGAUGGCGAAGGCAAUCCCCCUGGACCUGUACUGACGCUCAUGCACGAAAGCGUGGGGAGCAAACAGG